GGGCGUUGAAGCAUGAUCGUAAGGACAUGUGGAGCGCUUAGAAGUGAGAAUGCCGGUGUGAGUAGUGAAAGACGGGUGAGAAUCCCGUCCACCGAUUGACUAAGGUUUCCAGAGGAAGGCUCGUCCGCUCUGGGUUAGUCGGGUCCUAAGCUGAGGCCGACAGGCGUAGGCGAUGGAUAACAGGUUGAUAUUCCUGUACCACCUAUAAUCGUUUUAAUCGAUGGGGGGACGCAGUAGGAUAGGCGAAGCGUGCGAUUGGAUUGCACGUCUAAGCAGUAAGGCUGAGUAUUAGGCAAAUCCGGUACUCGUUAAGGCUGAGCUGUGAUGGGGAGAAGACAUUGUGUCUUCGAGUCGUUGAUUUCACACUGCCGAGAAAAGCCUCUAGAUAGAAAAUAGGUGCCCGUACCGCAAACCGACACAGGUAGUCAAGAUGAGAAUUCUAAGGUGAGCGAGCGAACUCUCGUUAAGGAACUCGGCAAAAUGACCCCGUAACUUCGGGAGAAGGGGUGCUCUUUAGGGUUAACGCCCAGAAGAGCCGCAGUGAAUAGGCCCAAGCGACUGUUUAUCAAAAACACAGGUCUCUGCUAAACCGUAAGGUGAUGUAUAGGGGCUGACGCCUGCCCGGUGCUGGAAGGUUAAGAGGAGUGGUUAGCUUCUGCGAAGCUACGAAUCGAAGCCCCAGUAAACGGCGGCCGUAACUAUAACGGUCCUAAGGUAGCGAAAUUCCUUGUCGGGUAAGUUCCGACCCGCACGAAAGGCGUAACGAUUUGGGCACUGUCUCAACGAGAGACUCGGUGAAAUCAUAGUACCUGUGAAGAUGCAGGUUACCCGCGACAGGACGGAAAGACCCCGUGGAGCUUUACUGUAGCCUGAUAUUGAAAUUCGGCACAGCUUGUACAGGAUAGGUAGGAGCCUUUGAAACGUGAGCGCUAGCUUACGUGGAGGCGCUGGUGGGAUACUACCCUAGCUGUGUUGGCUUUCUAACCCGCACCACUUAUCGUGGUGGGAGACAGUGUCAGGCGGGCAGUUUGACUGGGGCGGUCGCCUCCUAAAAGG
rnacentral:rRNA from 1 species